AACGAACGCUGGCGGCAUGCCUAACACAUGCAAGUCGAACGAAGGCUUCGGCCUUAGUGGCGCACGGGUGCGUAACGCGUGGGAAUCUGCCCUUGGGUUCGGAAUAACAGUUAGAAAUGACUGCUAAUACCGGAUGAUGACGAAAGUCCAAAGAUUUAUCGCCCAGGGAUGAGCCCGCGUAGGAUUAGGUAGUUGGUGGGGUAAAGGCCUACCAAGCCGACGAUCCUUAGCUGGUCUGAGAGGAUGAUCAGCCACACUGGGACUGAGACACGGCCCAGACUCCUACGGGAGGCAGCAGUGGGGAAUAUUGGACAAUGGGCGAAAGCCUGAUCCAGCAAUGCCGCGUGAGUGAUGAAGGCCUUAGGGUCGUAAAGCUCUUUUACCAGGGAUGAUAAUGACAGUACCUGGAGAAUAAGCUCCGGCUAACUCCGUGCCAGCAGCCGCGGUAAUACGGAGGGAGCUAGCGUUGUUCGGAAUUACUGGGCGUAAAGCGCACGUAGGCGGUUAUUCAAGUCAGAGGUGAAAGCCCGGGGCUCAACCCCGGAACUGCCUUUGAAACUAGAUGACUGGAAUCUUGGAGAGGUCAGUGGAAUUCCGAGUGUAGAGGUGAAAUUCGUAGAUAUUCGGAAGAACACCAGUGGCGAAGGCGACUGACUG
rnacentral:rRNA from 1 species